GGUAAGAAUAUUGUACUGGUCCUUGCUGACGGCUGACAAAUACUGAAUUUGUCGUUGCUCUGGUCCCGUGCCUUUGUGGUCAAGCAUUUGAAUAGACUUGGUACUCUCUUUUCAACAAAGCUCUCACUGCACCUAGUUACCUAGCAGAGGAGACAUGGUAAAAGGAAUAAACUAACUGAUAGUAUGCCAAAAAAUUUAGAUCAUGUGAAUGUACAAACACAUAAAACUUCCACUUCUUUUGGGAAAAGCUUGUACUGUACCUGCAAAAGUGCUGUACUAGAAGUAUGGGAAUAUUUACCCCAGAUUCUCCACCCUCUUGUGAUUGACGAAAUGACUGAUGUGUG
rnacentral:lncRNA from 1 species